CGCUGGCGGCACGCCUAACACAUGCAAGUCGAACGCAGUAGCAAUACUGAGUGGCAAACGGGUGAGUAUAAUGUGGGAAUCUGCCUUUUGGUUCGGAAUAACACGAGGAAACUUGUGCUAAUACCGGAUAAGCCUUUACAGGGAAAGUUUUAAUGCCAAAAGAUGAGCCCGCACUUGAUUAGCUAGUUGGUAAGGUAAUAGCCUACCAAGGCAACGAUCAAUAGCUGUUCUUAGAGGAAGACCAGCCACAUUGGGACUGAGACACGGCCCAAACUCCUACGGGAGGCAGCAGUGGGGAAUCUUGCACAAUGGGGGAAACCCUGAUGCAGCGAUGCCGCGUGAGUGAAGAAGGCCUUUGGGUUGUAAAACUCUUUCGUCGGGGAAGAAAAUGACUGUACCCGAAUAAGAAGGUCCGGCUAACUUCGUGCCAGCAGCCGCGGUAAUACGAAGGGACCUAGCGUAGUUCGGAAUUACUGGGCUUAAAGAGUUCGUAGGUGGUUAAAAUAGUUGAUGGUGAAAUCCCAAGGCUCAACCUUGGAACUGCCAUCAAAACUUUUUAGCUAGAGUAUGAUAGAGGAAAGUGGAAUUUCUAGUGUAGAGGUGAAAUUCGUAGAUAUUAGAAAGAACAUCAAAAGCGAAGGCAACUUUCUGGAUCAUUACUGACACUGAGGAACGAAAGCAUGGGUAGCGAAGAGGAUUAGAUACCCUCGUAGUCCAUGCCGUAAACGAUGUGUGCUAGACGUUGGAAACUUAGUUUUCAGUGUCGCAGAGAAAUCGUUAAGCACACCGCCUGGGGAGUACGACCGCAAGGUUAAAACUCAAAUGAAUUGAC
rnacentral:rRNA from 1 species